GACCCGGGCCCGCCCCCUUGGAGCGCCUGGACGCUCAGCGCCCCCUGCCCGCCGCCGAGAGCGGGAGUUGGGGACGGACGCGCGAGUUGGGGACGGAGAGCGGGAGUUGCGACCGGACGCGCGAGGCAGGGCCGAGGCCGUGUGUUCAGACCACGUGGGCGCGGGGUGCGCGACAGGGUCUGUGUCCUGCGCUGCGUGAGCCGCGGCGCUGCGAAUACGAGUGGGUCUCCACCACCAGAAUGGCUAAAGUGAAAAAGACCGCACCGUGUGGAGGCGAGAAAGUAGAGCGACUGGACCUCUCUUGUAUUUCUGGGGGAGUGUAAAUUGGUAGAGACAUUUUGGAAAACUGGCAGUUUUCUAAUGAAGCCGAACAUAUGCCACCUCUGUGAUCCAGCAGUUCCACUCCUAGGCUGUCAACACCCAGCAGAAAUGUGUAGGUGUGAGCAUCAAGAGGGUGCAUGGGAAUGUUCAGAGCCCUUUCAUAACAGCCCCAAACUGGAAAUAACCCAUCAACAGAAUGGAAAAUGAAUGAUGCCCUACUCACUACCAUGCACAUAGACACAGCAACGGGAUUGACAUGCCCGGCUACACACAGCAACAUAGACAAGUCGCAUGAUGAAAUCUUGAGUGACAGAAGCCAAAUGCAACAGUACAUACUAGAUGGUUCCAGGUGUAUUACGUUCAGAACCAGACAAAACUAAUUUAUAGUGCACCAAAGUCAAGAUAGUGAUCGCCCUUAGGGUUGGGAGGGGACGAGGGGAGAGCUUCUGGGAGCUGAUCCAGUUCUGUUGUGUAAUCUGGUGCUGGUUCCCUGGGCAUAUGUAUUCUGUGAAAAUCCAUCACAUGACUUAAAUAAAAUGUACAUUACUUAAAUAAAAUGAGUGUGUCUUUGUUGACUUUAUUUGAGGCUGGCUUGUCAGCAGAUAAGACCAUGUCAAAAUUUGUGCUGCUGUUGUGUGUGUGUGUGUGUUUCAAGGUGUGGCUGUUGUGUCUGUGAAUUUGGGCGUGACCAUGUCCAGAGGUUAAGGGUAUAAGGGGUUAGGAGCAUGGUUAAGACAGCAUUUUUUUGAGCCAAGCUGCUUAGGUAAAAUCCCAGUUGUGCCACACCUAACUGUGUUACCCUGGACAAGUCACUUCUCUCUAUUCCGCAUCUAUAACACAGGAGUUAGUUAAUGUGCAUAUGGCUCUUAGAACAGUGCCCAGCACAUGGUAAAUGCCCAAUAAAUAUUUACAGUUAAUACACAUGUGAUUGUGGGCCCUACCAAUUGUCUGGCUCAAUUCUAUCUGCUGUGCCCUCUCCAGUUAAACUCUUUCUUCUUUUAUUCCAGCAAUUGCUCACGGCAAUACACACACCCACUCACACGAACACACGCACACACAUGCACGCGCACAUGCACACACGCGCACACCUGCACACUCACACGCACACAAAUCCACUCGCACACACGCAUGCUCACACGCACACACGUCCGCAUGCACGCACACACGCAGACACACGCAAGCGCACACACACACGGGCCUCCUCGUCUUCAUUCACAAACCCCAUUAGCUUCUGUUGUCUAUGGGCUUCCUCGACAGACCGCGAGCCCCUCGCGGGGGCCAGAAACCAAGUAUGGAUCAUCCCUAUGUGCCUUCCUUUCCGUCUACACCAGGUUAAUGGGGUUGACGUAUGGGUGUGACUUCCUGUCCAGGUCUCUGUAGCUUGUUCUCCUGGGGGUGGGGGGCGGGGUGUGAUUGUUACUAGGCCUGCUAAGAAGAGGAGAGCAGUGUAUCUGUCUCCCUCCUGGUGGGUGUGACAAUGAGAUUGGAAGCCAUCUAAGAUAGGCCAGGAGAUGUAUGUCUGGACAAACAUGCCCCAAGCCUGACGGCCCCCAUCGUAGCCUCCCUCGCAAGCCGCGCCCCAGACUAGAGAGAGGGCCUGCGCAUUCCUGUCCUGCCAGUCCGGCAGUUCCCUCUCCUGUCUCCUCAGCUUUACACCCAAAGCAGCCGCUGCCUCAGGUCCAAGCCUGAGCCCGCGGCAGAACAUUGGGCUGCCUCCCAGGCCCUGACACCCCCAGCCCCGAGGUCCUGUCCACCCGGCAGACAACUUGCCUUCCCCCUCGGGCCCCUUCCCCCACUAGGCCCCACGGACGAGGAGCUGAGCUCAGGGCCAAGGAAUCCUGUCUCAAAAGGGGGGGUAGGAUGAAAUGUUUGGGGUCUGGGCUCUGAUUGGCUGCGCCCGGGCCACGCCCCCAGCCCUUUCCCCUUUCUCCCCCCUCGAAAGGGGGGCGUGAAGGGAGCCGGGAUCAGCCAGGGGCCAGCAUGAGCCGGAGGGAGGGAAGUCUGGGUAAGGGGCUGAGGGACCGGACGCCGGGUCGCUGAGGGGCGCAGGAGUCAGAGGGAUUGGGAGCUGGGGGUCUGGGUUUCCGCCACCCCCGGGUCCGGGAGGGGAGCGGCCUUGGCGGGGAAGGGCAGGGCUCCGGUGUCAGGUAACGAGUGAGCGGGUGAGUUGUGAGAAACAGCAGGCGCUAGGGUUUAGAGGAGGCCUGGGGCUGAGGUUUCAGGGACCUGGGCUCAGGGCUUAGAUCACCGGUUCGAGUACACCCAGGGGGAGGACUGGGGUCGGGGCUGGGGCAGGACCCCUGCGUCCACUGAGUCUCGGGAAAGAAUCAGAGCUGGGGGGCUGAAGGAAGGGGUAGAGUAAGGGAAGGCAGUCUUGGAGUCACAGGAAGUAGUGAGUGACAACAGG
rnacentral:lncRNA from 1 species